rnacentral:rRNA from 1 species
UACGUAGGUGGCAAGCGUUGUCCGGAAUUAUUGGGCGUAAAGCGCGCGCAGGCGGUCCUUUAAGUCUGAUGUGAAAGCCCACGGCUCAAACCGUGGAGGGUCAUUGGAAACUGGGGGACUUGAGUGCAGAAGAGGAGAGUGGAAUUCCACGUGUAGCGGUGAAAUGCGUAGAGAUGUGGAGGAACACCAGUGGCGAAGGCGACUCUCUGGUCUGUAACUGACGCUGAGGCGCGAAGCGUGGGAGCAAACAGG